GACGAACGCUGGCGGCGUGCUUAACACAUGCAAGUCGAACGGAAAGGCCCUGCUUUUGUGGGGUGCUCGAGUGGCGAACGGGUGAGUAACACGUGAGUAACCUGCCCUUGACUUUGGGAUAACUUCAGGAAACUGGGGCUAAUACCGGAUAGGAGCUCCUGCUGCAUGGUGGGGGUUGGAAAGUUUCGGCGGUUGGGGAUGGACUCGCGGUUUAUCAGCUUGUUGGGGGGGUAGUGGCUUACCAAGGGUUUGACGGGUAGCCGGCCUGAGAGGGUGACCGGCCACAUUGGGACUGAGAGACGGCCCAGACUGCUACGGGAGGCAGAAGUGGGGAAUAUUGCACAAUGGGCGGAAGCGUGAUGCAGCAACGCCGCGUGCGGGAUGACGGCCUUCGGGUUGUAAACCGCUUUCGCCUGUGACGAAGCGUGAGUGACGGUAAUGGGUAAAGAAGCACCGGCUAACUACGUG
rnacentral:rRNA from 1 species